rnacentral:rRNA from 1 species
AUUGAACGCUGGCGGCAGGCCUAACACAUGCAAGUCGAGCGAGCGGCGGACGGGUGAGUAAUGUCUGGGAAACUGCCUGAUGGAGGGGGAUAACUACUGGAAACGGUAGCUAAUACCGCAUACCAUCAGAUGUGGCCAAAUGGGAUUAGCUAGUAGGUGGGGUAACGGCGCACACAGGAGACGAUCCCUAGCUGGUCUGAGAGGAUGAACAACCACACUGGAGCUGAGACACGGUCCAGACUCCUACGGGAGGCAGCAGUGGGGAAUAUUGCACAAUGGGCGCAAGCCUAAUGCAGCCAUGCCGCGUGUUUGAAGAAGGCCUUCGGGUUGUAAAGCACUUUCAGCGGUGAGGCGUUACCCGCAGAAGAAGCACCGGCUAACUCCGUGCCAGCAGCCGCGGUAAUUC